CCACCCCCUUUCCCCCCCCCCACCACAUUAUCCCUUCUUCUUCAUUUGUCUCUAGCGAAGCAGAGCAUUUGGACCAGGAGUUGUUCUUUCUCAGCAUCGAUGGCGCCUAGGAGCGGCUAUACAGGAGAUGGAGGAAGCUCAAUCACGUCCAUGGAUCUAAGCCAUGGCAGUGUUGAAUCAAGUGAAUCUCUUCAGAAGAGAUUCUUGAUCCGGAGUUCUUCGGUGUAGAUACUUCCUCUCCACACAGAUGCCAUCACAAAAUGCAUCCAGCAAGAAAAGUGGCUUACAUCUACGUGGCCACAGGCAUGAUGUUUCUUGGAUGCCCUCUCUCGGGAGUUGAUAGGUGCCCCUGGUUUUUGUGGAUUGAUGAAGCAUGGAGUCCUGUACUUAGCCGUUCAUUAAUACAACUCUGGGAUCAGGCUUGUCUGGACUCUGAAAGAGCAGCAAUGUUGGAGACUAAGAAAAAGGAAAUGGAGCAGUCAUACUUAGAGUUGUGGACUGAGAGAAGCAAUAUUGAGAUUGAACACGAGCAGGUGGUCAACAAGUUGAAGAACACAAUACUGAACACGGAGAUUAAGAUGUCAAGGAGGUUAGCUGAAGACCACUGCCAACAUAUUUUGUACUGUUUACACUUUUGAAGUUUGGUCGCAUUAUACGUAUGCAACAUUUGGAUAAUGCAAACAUUGUUGGCAAACAAAGGAUUUGACAUCAGGACCAAUUUCAUAGUAAACCUCAUUCUUAAGAAGGUAUGUGCAGGCCAUUCCAAUAGUUUGUCAUGGAGUAGUUAUGCUUCAGCGGAGGGGCUAGGAGGAAAGUCAUCGUGCAAAUCGCAAAAGCAACCUUGAAUUUGUCUGCUUCGGCCUUUGUCAUGGUCCUAACAUACUCAAUCUUCAAUAUGGAGAUCCUACUGAUGGCACCCCCAGUACCUUACCGACGUCUCCGUCGUCGAAAGGUAUAUAUCAUCCAUGACAUGCAGUAGGUAUUCACAACUUCCAUAAUCUGCAUCAGGUAUCUCUAAUCUUACCAUAUAGAUGCCAUCCCAAACAUUUGGAAACCAUCAAGAACAAGAAGAACUACUUUUGUUUAGAAAUGCCACACAAACCAAACUACUAAAAUUAUUCCUAUAUUGCUAUAUAUCAAACUGUCAUGGACGAAAUCAACAACCAUUGUCCAACUAGACAAUCGAACAUGCAGUACCUUUUUUCCAGUUGAAGUAGUGAGGAGCUCCUUGAUCUUCAUCCUUGGGGAGAAGGAGCUCCUAGUUCUUCAUCCUUUGUGGGAAGGAGCUCCUAGUUCUUCAUUCUUGGUGGGAAGGAGCUCCUAGUUCUUCAGCCUUGGGGAGAAUGAGAGAGGAGCACCAGAUGCAAAUGAAUCUCUGUCAAUGCACCCCUCCCUCUCACAGCUCGUCCCUUUGAACAAGUGACAUGUGAUAGGUGUCUAGAUAGGUGUUUGGAAUCUUUUUGUACCCCACACACAGCUACCCUCCCUUGGCUUCCAAAAAGCACUUGAAAACCGAGCCACAUUAUUUUCAGUUUCAAAUUACUAUUUCACCCCUCCCGCUGAAAGCCCACAAAUUUAUAUUAUUUAUUGUAGUCAAUCGGCUGGGCUCAACCAUUUCGUUAUAUUCUUUUUGGCUGUUUCUAAUCUUUCGCACCGUGGUCAUAUUAACAACAGUAGGAGUAACAUCUGAACUUGACUUUGUUUUCAUCACUAAUUGCCAUCAGAACAAUGAAUCCAUUAAGGUUCGUAUUCGAUAAAAAGAAACAUAUUCAUCAGGAGCAACAUAAAUUCCACCUUCCCUUUUUUUGUACAUGCUAUUUGUUGUACAUUUUAGUAUAGUUCCACAGUACUGGACGACCUUGUUUCUACCAAUCAAGUUCAACCAGAAUCCAAUUUAAAGUUGCCUGGAGUUAAGCUACAAAAUCAUACAGAAAUGGUAGUCUUCAAUGGUUGGCACACACAAAUGAUAAGUUCUGUGUCGAUGGCAUAUAAGUACAUGUAAUGUGAAGACUAAGUGCAUAUGCAAUAAUUACACUGCUUAUUUCAUUGCAACUACCAGGACUUUUUGACUCAUAUUAGGUUCUUCUGCAUUUGAUUGUUAAGCUCCUAAGUCCAAACUAAUUGCACCUUCAUGAAACAUGUUCCUUUUCGCCAUAAAUAGACCCGUAGGGCGUGCGCACACUUGUGCAAAAUGAACACAUGCAUGACUAGUACAAAUACAACUUCAUGGGUGACCAGGAAAUAUAGAAUCUAGGAAAUACAAAUUUUGGAUAGUUCAAGACCCUUGACUUAACUAAAGACCUUAACAUUAAUUAGACCCCUAACUUGACACUACUAGCAUUGAAGCACUUCAUAAUGAUAGAUGACGCGGCUCCUGCAACUCACUAAGGAUAAGGUUGCAACUAGAACUAAAUGAAGAUAACUUCCUGGUCUGCUAACCCAUUUUUCCUUGCUUAAUCUUAACCAACUUUUCAUUUCCCAACCCAAGUAGCCGUGACUGCGAUCAUCGCUGCCACUGGCGCGGUGGAUGCGAGUGCAAGUUGAAGCACCUUGUUCAUCCUCUUGAGCGUUCUAAUCUCCCUGUUCUUGUCAGCCAUCUCCUCGAUGAACUCGUCUCGGUCUUCAGUCACCUCCCGCAGCUUCAUUCGUUCAGCUUGGAUUCUCUUCUGCAUGUAUUGCUCCAAUACAUCCUCCCACACAUAGACCUCUCACACUCUCCUCUGAACCUAUACAUAGGAAUGAAGAAACAAGAGCAAAAGAAUCUUUAGUCAGUUGAGGUACUGAAUGGAAUCUGCUACAUUUCUUCUUUUCUGCAUUUUCUUACCCCAUAGUUCACCCAGCUGAAGUAGAACUGAUCCUGCCUCGCCACAGCAGAGCCAGCUUUCCUGGCGCAUGGCAUGCCGCGUUCACAUCGAAGUAUCAGAUUUACAAUGGACAUGUUCUUCUAAGUUAUUUGGUUAUUGCAGAAGAAGUGUUGUGGUGACUCACGUUCCAUUCCACUCGUAUGUAUAGCCCUGGUAUUAAUUGUAUGCAGUUAUAUCGAACCAACCAUAGUACACAUACUUUCGGCACUACCGAAGGGGGCAGUGUCUCGUUCCCGCCCAUACGGCGCGCCGGUCGAACAGUAAAGUUGUGAGGUCAAAUCGACCUUAUCUCAUGUACCGUCGUACUGCUACAUCUUUGUUGGAGAGGAGUGCAUGGUUCAAUGUGAUAUUUGACUCACCCGUGAGCUGCACAACACUCUGGACAGCAAGGCAUGGGCGCCAUGGCGUUGUACCACUCCACUCUAAGGGAUGCAUGUGUUCUAUAAUUUUAAUACUGCCACCUUCCCUCUCUGAUCAACUCCAUGCCAUGCACUCCUUUUGACAUGAACUGGUUAAUCAACGCUCCAUUGGGAUCGCAUUAAUCACGUCGUUAUAUAUGUGAGAUCCCGUUUGCCCAUGUGUUACAUCAAAAUACAUAAGGGCAUCUCAACACUGAAAAUCAAAUCCCACUUCCCUUAACCGUUUCUCCCAUUGAAAAACAAGUCAAAACAGAUUGCAUUCGCAUUCAGAUAACGCCUCCCUUCGAUCCCUUCUGGCCAGCUCCCACCUACAUGUCAAAUCAACUUAAACUGCUUCGUUGCUUGAGCUCUCUAUAGGCUAGUACCUCAAAGUUGUAUAUAACUCAACCAUCCCUAGCCCGUUCUCCUACAACGACGUCAUGGAUGACAACGCCGACGCGACCGAUGCUCUGUUCACCGGCGAUGCCAUGAUGGUUUCCCCAGCACGCUCGACUGCCACCACCGUCGUACCCGCUCAUCCAUCCACUCUCAGGCGUAUGACAAUCAAGCAGCUGUAUGAUGGAUUCCUGGAGGACAUAGAGCGUUAUCCUAUUGUAGUUGACAGAGACACCGUCUCAUCAGUGAUCCGGAUAGGAACUGUUUCACACUCUACUGAUAGAAUGAAUUAAUGCUACCAUCAAGAUAAUUCACUUUUCCAGUCCUAGUUGUUAAACUCGCUGGUCAACAAGGCUACUCUUUCAAUCGUUACAUCUUAUUUGCAGAAAUGGUGACUAUGUUCAACUAUUUGGCAAACCUGCGAUGGAUGGCAAUUUCCUUCAGAUUAAAGCUUUCAAGAUCAGGGUAAUCAAAAACUACAAUGACAUCACGCAUCACUACUUGUAUACCAUUUACACUACAUUAGACAUUCAUAAGAGAAACGCUCUCAAGGCAAAAAUACAACCUGUCUCUAUUGCAUCAACUUUGUACCCAAAGGGUCCAUCAAUUACCCCUUCGGAGGUACCUUUGCAUUCAUCAACAAAGGACAAGACAUUUGCCAUCCUGUGCGACCCGGCCUACCGUGAUAUUCAACACGGCGUUAGCUUGAAGUUAAUCCGCAGUGCAUUGGACAUCAGCCAGGACGAAAUAAUGCAAGUCAUUACAGAGCAGAUCUACCUCGGGAUGAUAUACACUACUCUUGAUGACAACCACUUCAAGUCCUCCAUCUGAUUGGUCGAUGGUCCACGUGUUAAAUUUUAGAGUUUAAUUAUGUAAUGUGUGUCUGACAUUUAUGGUUAAGCCCUGCAAUGAUUUUCAUUUAGACCUCUCAUGUUUGUACAAUAUAUUUCAACCCCGGUUCACACAUUGCAAUUCUCUCAGUUAUUUUAUUAUGUGGUGUCCCACAUCCCCACUUUUGCCUGGAUUACAACACAGAUGCACUCACACCCCAUACCGCCCUUCUUUCCCAGACUACCAUCUGUCCUCCUCUAUCCACCAUGGACAUUGACCAGCUAGAUUUCUCAUCUCGCUUAGAUAACAAUAUUUUGAGUGAGAUCUUCAUCAGGCUAGGCUGCACUAGAUGUCUUGUUCGUAGUUCUUUAGUGAGUCCUAGAUGGUUCGAGAUCUGCACCUCCUAGCAGUUCAUCACAGAGUAUGCUCGCUGCAAUGCUCCAGCAGUCCUAGGAUUCGUUGCUGCAUUCGGGCACCUCUUCGAGCUGCACGUACGUCUUGUGGGCGUUGUGGCUCACCCUCCUGAUCCAGGACAAGCUGCUCUCCUUGCUAGGGUGGACAUGACAACCUUUGCCAUGGAGAACAUCCUCGCAUCUGAAGGAGGUGAGUUGCUCAUCUUGGUCAGAGGGCUCGACGGCGGGUUCUUCUUUGUAUGUCCAACUACUCCAAUUUCUCGGGCAUUCUUAGCUCCCAGAAUGCCUCGAGUCCCUCUUGCCCACCCUCAGCACAUCCUGAAUUUUUACGGGCAAUUCGGUGUCAUUCCUCUUGGCAGUAGGCCUAGAUUUUCUUCUUUGUUAAGCAAGCAGUAGGCCCUUUCCUUCGUUCUUAUUCUGGUUUGAGUUUCAGUUCAGUUGCAGAUCUAUAUGUCCAUGUUUGCAUCCUAAAAAACAACGAAUGGUCCCGCUUUGUUUCCCCACCUCUUCGAACUCCUCCUGAUAGUGAUGGAUCAUUGUUCCAUUGGGAUCCAUACUGUCUCAUAGUUGGUUCCAAUCUAUACAUGAUGUAUGUGGUAGGAUUUGUUGUUUGCUUCAACAUUGAUAGUUCAGUCUUCUCCACUGUCCAGCUCCCUUUAAGUGCCAUGUCCUGCUUUGACUACCACAUCUCUAGUAGCAGUUCAGGUAUAAUAUCACUUGUUCACACUAACAAUCCAUCACUUCUCACAUGGACAUUAUCAUCACAACAACAUGAACAAAAAAUGGGUUCUUGUGUCCGUUAUCAGUCUGACAUCAUCUUUUGCUAGGCAGGCUCAGCAUCCCAUGUGGCGUCAAUUCUUCCUUGGUGAUGGUUUAGAUGAUGGCCUUCAUUCUAUGCAAAUCAGAGUGUUGGCCACCGGUGCUUCAUUUGCCUAAUCCUGAUGCAACAUAGAGAUAAACAAGGCAAUGGGCGUGCGACUGUUGUAUCUCCAGAUUUAAUCUUAUCUUGCAUUUCUGUCGAAUUUAAUAUCUGAAUAUGUCUGUUGUUUGUAUGCCCGAAUG